ACCCCUUUAUUCCCCUGUAUUUGAAAUUGUACAUUGUCUUUAUUAAUGUAGGCUUCUACCGGUGCUUGUUUGUUUGCAGUUAAUGAAUUUAUUAUUUUCCUUUUUGGAUUCGAAUCACUCUCAGAGUACACCACUGACUGGGUACUUCAGCAAGGUUGUCAUAUGUUUGCUGUUGCGGAAGACAUUGCCAUUCCUGCUGUAUGUUAAGGCUGUUUCUUCUGUUAUAUGUUCCUGACUGGUGGGAAAUGCAUGGUUGGAUCCAAAGUGCAUGUUCCCUCAGUGACAAAGAAUUGAUAUAUCAGCUUGCUAAGUUUGGAAGGCAAUGCUUUGAAUUGCUUUACAUAUGCUUGUAUCUUUGUUGGGCUUUUUUUUUUUUUUAUGUAGAUUGAAUCUCGCCUGUAGCACUAACAUGAAACUAAGUUACUGGCAAUCUAGAUAGAUUGGGUUUGUGCGGCAUGAAAUGGAAUUUAGGCAGCACCUAUCUUGAAAGGGGUUAUUAUUGGGGGUAUUCUCUCCCCUUGUUUUAUCCAAUUCAUUUGGAGUUCCAAGCUAAUUGGGCACUCUAGAAAAUAGUGGAUCAUUUUAGUUGAUUGUUGGCUAACUGAUUCUAUCAAGAAAUUUAUUUAUAGGUGCAAUUUCCUCUUUCUUAUGGGA